GCAUUGGUUGUUCAGUGGUAGGAUCCUUACCUUCCAUGUGGGAGACCUGGGUUUGAUUCCCAGCCAGCGUA
rnacentral:tRNA from 1 species